rnacentral:rRNA from 1 species
CCUACGGGUGGCAGCAGUGGGGGAUAUUGCACAAUGGGGGCAACCCUGAUGCAGCGACGCCGCGUGGAGGAAGAAGGAUUUCGGGUUGUAAAGCUCUUUUCUCAGGGACGAAGAAAUGAAGGUUACCUGGGGAGUAAGACAGGGCUAAAUCGGUGCCAGCAGCCCCGGUAAAAGGUAGGUGGCAAGCGUGAUCCGGAUUUAUUGGGUGUAAAGGGCGUGUAGGCGGGAGCGCAAGUCAGAUGUGAAAACUCAGGGCUCAACCCUGGGCCUGCAUUUGAAACUGUGUGUCUUGAGUGCUGGAGAGGCAGUCGGAAUUCCGAGUGUAGCGGUGAAAUGCGUAGAUAUACGGAGGAACACCAGUGGCGAAGGCGGAUUGCUGGACAGUAACUGACGCUGAGGCGCGAAAGCGUGGGGAGCAAACAGGAUUAGAUACCCGAGUAGUC